UACAGCAAAAUCAAAUGAACAUUUUUGGUUUUGAAGUAAUUAAUAUUUUAUUUAAAUAUGAAUUGAGAUUAUUUUAAGGUGAAAUAUUUAUAAUGUCUCGAGGUAUAUUAAUAUUUGUAUGAUUAUUAUGAAAAUAAAAAUGUAAACUAGGAUUAGAUACCCUAUUAUUUUUAUUGUAAAAUUUUAAACCUGAGUAUUAGUAGUUAAGGUCUUGAAACUUAAAGAAUUUGGCGGUAUUAUAGUCUAUUUAGAGGAAUCUGUUAUGUAAUCGAUAGUCCACGUUGAACCUUACUUAUAUUAUUUCUUGUAUACCGCUGUUUGAGAAUAUACUUUUAGGUAAUUUUCUUAAUAUAAAAUUAAUUAAAAUUUCAGGUCAAGGUGCAGUGAUAUGUAAGUUGAAUAAUGGAUUACAAUAAAUUUUAUUUAUUAUGAAUUGUUAUUGAAAUAUAAUUUGAAGGUGGAUUUAAUUGUAAUUUUAUAAAGAUUAUUAAAAUGAUUUAUAGCUCUAUAAUAUGUACACAUCGCCCGUCGCUCUCGUUAUUAAGAUGAGAUAAGUCGUAACAAAGUAGGUGUAUCGGAAGGUGUACCUAGAAGGAAAAAUAAGGAAAAUAAAAAA
rnacentral:rRNA from 1 species